UAACUUUCAGCAACGGAUCUCUUGGCUCUCGCAUCGAUGAAGAACGCAGCGAAAUGCGAUAAGUAAUGUGAAUUGCAGAAUUCAGUGAAUCAUCGAAUCUUUGAACGCACCUUGCGCCCCUUGGUAUUCCGAGGGGCAUGCCCGUUUGAGUGUCAUU
rnacentral:rRNA from 1 species